GACGAACGCUGGCGGCGUGCCUAAUACAUGCAAGUAGAACGCAGUUGCGAACGGGUGAGUAACGCGUAGGUAACUGCCUCAUAGCGGGGGAUAACUAUUGGAAACGAUAGCUAAUACCGCAUACUGUGAGAUGGACCUGCGUUGUAUUAGCUAGUUGGUGAGGUAAAGGCUCACCAAGGCGACGAUACAUAGCCGACCUGAGAGGGUGAGCGGCCAACCUGGAACGGAGACACGGCCCAGAUCCUAACGGGGGGAGGAAGUAGGGAACUUUGGGAAAGGGACGGAAGUCUGACCGAGAAAGGCGGGGGGAGUGAAGAAGGUUUCCGGAUCUUAAAGUCUGGUGGUUAGGGAAGCGGUAACUAACCAGAAAGGGACGGCUAACUACGUGCCAGCAGCCGCGGUAAUUC
rnacentral:rRNA from 1 species